GUCUCUGCUUUUAACUAGAUAGCAACUUUCAGCAGUGGAUGUCUAGGCUCGCACAUCGAUGAAGAACGCUGCGAACUGCGAUACGUAAUGCGAAUUGCAGGAUUCAGUGAGUCAUCGAAAUUUUGAACGCAUAUUGCACUUCCGGGUUAGUCCUGGGAGUAUG
rnacentral:rRNA from 1 species